AGUGGAGGAAACACUCAGUACAAUUCCUUCAUCUUGUUCAUGUGUUUAUGUUACUUCUCUCAAAUAUGCCUCCGCCGGAACUUCUGCUCCGCCGUGCCGGAGGCGGCGGAGUUGGCCAGAACGACCAAAUAUCACCACCAAAAUGCUCCUUUCCACAUCCUCUCUCUCUCUCUCAAUCUCUCAAAAAUUUCUACUAAAGACUAACUACUUCUCCAAAUCGAAUCAAAAAAGCUAUGGGCCCUAACCAUGAAAACUAAAAUCAAACGGAGGAGGAGGGGAAUCAAGCCACUCCACCUUGGGGCUUUGAUUUCCCUCAACAAGAGCUACAUUGCGGUAUCAAAAUUCAAGCAAACAAAGGAGGAAGAGAAAUGCGUCACCGACCUGUAAGACAGAGGAUUGCCUUGGAAGUUGUUGCAGAGUCAGAAAUUGAAGACGAAGAUGCUAUUGAAGAAUGAAGAGAAAUCCAGACGUUUAGCUCAGUUGUGGCAAGCUUCAAUGUCAAGCUUGCACCAACAAUGGUGAAGUUGAGCUUUUAGUGAUUGGUGAGGGGAAGAUGAAUUGAAAGAGUGAUUUGCAGAAAAUGAUCAAAGUCCCUUGAUGAAUAAGGAGGAAUAUGAUUAUAUAGAUGAGUUCCCUAACUGUUUCGGGCACUUUUCCGGGCAGCUCUGUUUGAGGUUAGGGCACUGUUAUGGUUAAGUUAAGUUGAAUCCAAUAGUAAGUUAGUUGGAUCAAUUAACAGAGUUAUAUUUUCUGUUAAAUUGUCAUUUGGAACGGUUGGAAUUUAGGAUUGGUUAAUGAAGUGAAAUGUUAGUUGCUGAAUCUGUUCUGUGGUGCUAAUUGAUUUGCUAAUUUGAAGUAAAUUUUGCAACUGUUUUCAUAACUAUGCAAUCCAUGUUUUUGAGUUGAAUGCCAUGUGAAAUGAGGUUUAGUUGUUUUGGAAUGAUGCAGGCAAUUAACUGAUUUGAAUGUUACUGCAAAAUGAAGUUUAGUUGCUGAAUUGGAUUGGAUUUAGUGUAGGAAAUGGCACUGCAAUACUGAACAUGGCGACAGGGCACAGGUGUAACCGGUUAACCACUUUGGUUAACCGAUUACCAACAUGACAUCUUGCCUUAGUAGGCCAUGUUUGAAUGGAUAUGUUGAAUUGGUGAUCAAAAGAGGUGAUGGCUGUAUGUUGUUAUUGUUGUUGGAAGUGUUAAUGAAUUGAAGUUAGUGAAUUGGUUAGAAGAGUGAACUAGGUUAGUUUACUGUUAGUUAGAUUGUUAGUUAGCUGCAUUAGUUGACAAUUGUGGGUUAGUUGGUUAUGGAAUUUUACUGGUUUCACUUGUUUGUCUGCAGUUACUUGUUUGAAGAGGUUCCAACAUAAAAUGAAGGUUUACAUGGCAUUCUGCUGCCAACAAAAAAGCAUCAAUAGCAACAUCAUGAGUUUCAACAGUGAUUUCAUUCUGAGAAUGCAAAUCUAAAGCCAAGCGCUUAAACUCAGAAGCACGAAGCUCACAGUCAUGAUAGUUUAAAAGUUGAAAAUAAUCUGCCUGAAGUUUGAAGUAUUCAAACCUAAGGCCGAAAUCUAUGAGAACAUUAGAUAGAAACAAUGGGUGGAAUGUUUAUCCACCACAUGUUUGGAUUCCGAUAUCACAUCCGCAUCGCGAGAAACAAAGAUAUUAUUGUUAGGAACAUUAGAAUUGCUUCUCAAUGAAAUACCCUGCAAUUCUGGUGGAGCGAAAUGUAGAUUACGGUAUUCAACAAAAUCAGAUCUUCCUGCGGUUUCCGGUACCUGGUUUUGCCAUCAGACUCAUCUUGACUAUUGAGCUUGGAAAAAGUAGCUCCUCCAUUAACCCCAGAAGAAAGAAGUGAGACAGAUGCAGCUUCAUUUUCAGUUGGUCUUAAAACAGAUUUGCAAAGGUCAACAUCAGGUGGCGGUAACAUGUGUGGUUUCAGUAUCGAGAGAAGCACACUAGGAACCACAGACCCAUGUCUCCAUUCUGAUUCCAAAGAAGGAAGAACAGGUGGCUUUGAAUAUAUAGACGAAUGAAUUUCACCUCCUAAGCCAAAACUCUCUACUAGCACAAUCCUUUAACAGCUCCUUCAUAAAGAUACUUUAUUCCAUGCGAAAUAUCAAGAGCAAUUUACAUCCUUGACAUCCAAAGUUUGCAAUUGAUAACUGGAAACGCGAGGGAACCUUCAUCAAUUCUCAGCUUCUUCAAUGUGUCCACUUGUAACCAAUCGGCGGCGCUCAUUUGCAGUGACAGAAGCAUCAUGAUUAGCAGACAAACAAAUCCUUCCAAGGCCCUUCAUUUUGUUCGAACUCUCAAUCACACUCUGGACAUUCUUGCCUUUGAUACCUACAACAACUGCAUUUGCAAAAUAUCUAAGAAAUGGAUCCAAAUUUAACCGAGAUUUCUCAGCUAUUCAAUCGAUUUAAGGCUGCGUUUCUCAGAAACGACUUUGAUUCCAGUUCGAAUCUCCUUUCCCAGCUUAAAGUGUUACUGAAAGGGUUCAGAAGUCUUCCACCAUUGUUUGCAGAUACACCUAAUGUUGUUCAGGAGUUAACAAUAGCAAGGGAUAUGCAUGAGCAUGCUGUUGUCCUAAUAUUGGCACAACCUCCAUGAAAGGUAUGGGGCUUUAUGAGGGAAGAUUAUUGCAUAUGUUCACCACAGUAGAAAGAGCAACUCUCUGUAUGCUUGUUGAGAAGCAACCAAUGUAAUUUAAAAUAGUCGUAACAUGCUUUGCCAGCUUUACAAGCAAUGGUGAUAUGCUUCUUUGCAAAGUCCAGUUUCUCAAUAUCCCUACAUAUCUCUUGAACCAUUGUCUCCGCCUUAUUUUUUUUGUUUGAAUAUGCAUUGUAUUCUCAUGGUGAUGAGAACUAGUUCAGGUAUGUACGUGAAUGGAUGUUUGGAUGUUGAUGUCUUGUA